rnacentral:snRNA from 1 species
AUGUUUGCGCUUGGGGCAAUGACGCAGUUAGUGAAGUGAAACCGAGACGCGUCAAUUGCUGGUUGAAAACUAUUUCCAUUUCUAUGAUCCUUUGUGUAGUAUCAAUUAUUUAUUUAUAUACACUAUA